CUGGAUAGGAGGGCCUCG
rnacentral:tRNA from 2 species